GUAGGUGAACCUGCGGAAGGAUCAUUACCGAGAGCCGGUUUUCGGACCGGGGGGUUAACAGCCCCGACUCUACCACCCUGUGCCAACAAACCUUUGUUUCUUCGGCGAAGCAUUCGCUGGCCGUGGGUGCUCGUCACCCGUGGCCCCUGCGUGCCCGCCAGAGGCCCUUGAAACUCUUGUUUUAUCGGUGACGUCUGAGUAAAAAUACAAUAACUAAAACUUUCAACAACGGAUCUCUUGGUUCUGGCAU
rnacentral:misc_RNA from 1 species